rnacentral:rRNA from 1 species
AUGUCGUCGGGGUCGGCGUUCGGCGACUUCGGCCCGCUCACCGAGCGCCGCAAAGCCGAGAAGGCGCGGCAGGUGAAAAAGCGCAUCAUGAUCGCCGUAGGGACCAUCGCCAUUAUACUCAUUGUUUGCGGCAUCGUCGUCACGUUGAACGGGAAGCAGAAGGAAGAAAAGGACGGGUCAUCCAGCAAGAAGGGCUCAAAGGGAAAGUCCGAUGGCGGCGGCGGCGAGGACGGAGGAGGAGACCUCAAGGCCGUGAAGAAGACCAUUACGAUGAUGUGCAAGCAGGUGGACUACCAGGGCGUGUGCGAGGAGAGCCUGACGAGGUGCGCGAAAGCGAACGAGUCGUCGCCCCUGGGCGUCCUCCGCUUGGCCGUCAGGGUGAUCGGCGAAGCGUUGUCGGAGGCGUUCGACCGCGCAGAACUGAUCCUGACCAACGACCUCCUCGUGAAGGGCGCCAUUGCCGACUGCAAGGAGUUCUUCGGUUACGCCAAGGAGGAGCUCAACCGCACGCUCGCUAGCAUGGACGCCAAUGACAGCAUCACCAAGCAGGGGUACCAAUUGAGCAUCUGGCUGAGCGCGGUGAUCACGCACCAGGAGACGUGCAUCGACGGCUUCCCCGACGGCGAGUUCAAGGACAAGGUGAAGUUGAUGUUCCUCAAGGGGAAGGAGCUGACCAGUAACGCGCUGGCGUUCAUCGAGAAGGCGGCGACGUUCCUCGCCGGCCUCAAGCUCCCGCAACGCCGGCUGCUCGUCGAGGAGAAGGGAGCGGCGCCACGGCGAGCCGAGCCGGCGCUAGGGAAGGAUGGCAUCCCGGAGUGGGUGCCCGAAAGCGAGCGGAGGGUUCUCAAGGGCGGCGGGUUCAAGGCCGAGGUCAAGCCAAACGUGGUGGUGGCCAAGGACGGCAGCGGCCAGUUUAAGACCAUCAAUGAGGCGCUCAUUGCCAUGCCAAAGAAAUAUGAUGGAAGAUAUGUCAUCCAACUGAAGGCGGGUGUGUACGACGAGUAUGUUACGAUCACAAGCCAGAUGCCGAACGUGACCUUGACCGGCGACGGUUCCAAGACGACGAUCAUCACCGGCAAAAAGAACUUCGUGGACGGGAUCACGACCUUCAAGUCGGCAACCUUCACCGCGCAAGGCGACGGGUUCAUGGCGAUCGGGGUGGGGUUCGAGAACACGGCGGGCGCGGCGAAGCACCAGGCGGUGGCGCUGCUGGUGCUGGCGGACAAGUCCAUCUUCCUCAACUGCAAGAUGGACGGGUUCCAGGACACGCUGUACGCGCACUCCAAGGCGCAGUUCUACCGCAACUGCGACAUCUCCGGCACCAUUGACUUCAUCUUCGGCGACGCGGCGGCCGUGUUCCAGAACUGCAUCAUCACGCUCCGCCGCCCGUUGGACAACCAGCAGAACAUCGUCACGGCGCAUGGCCGCGCCGACGCCCGGGAGGCCACGGGGUUCGUGCUGCAGAAGUGCCAGAUCGUCGGCGAGCCCGCGCUCACGGCGCCCGGCCGCCCGCCCAUCAAGAACUACCUCGCCCGCCCGUGGCGCGAGUGCUCGCGCACCAUUUUCAUGGAAUCGGACCUCCCGGCGCUCAUCGACAAGGCCGGGUACCUGCCGUGGAACGGCGAAUUCGGGCUCAAGACGCUCUACUACGCCGAGUUCGGCAACAAGGGGCCGGGCGCCGACACGGUGGGGCGCGUCAACUGGGCAGGGUACAAGAAGGUGAUCAGCAAGGACGAAGCCAACAAGUUCACCCUGGGGAACUUCAUCCACCCCCAGCCGUGGAUCGACCCGACCGGCACGCCGGUCAAGUACGACUUCUUCGGAUGA